AAAGAAAAUUCAUCGUGGCGCCACGGAGAAUUCCCGUAAAACCGGCGUGGCAUUCGACGUGUUAACUAGCCCGAGUCAAAUCGAUCCGCUCGAAGCAAAUUAACCAGGAUGUCAGCUCGAAGAAACGUUUCAACAGAAACGAAACCCCGAUUUUCGAAGUUGUUCGAGGCAAAGGAAUACGGGGUCGUCGAGCAAGCGGAAUCGAAAGGAAUGGUCGCGAGGGUGCGCGAGGCACCCGUUCCGUUCGAUCCGUUGAACCGAGCCAGUCGAUGCAGAGCCGAAGGGAAUGGAUCCGGUGAUCGACGUCCUUCGGGCGCUCCACGGCGUGAGUCGAAGACGUGACUCGUCUGGCGAGGAUCGGCAAACCGAGAAGUUAAUGUCUCGGAACGGACGCCAUAUUAGCAUAUCCGCGUCCAAUCGUCGCCCACGUGGCUGGGGCGCCGUGGCGGAUCGGCCCGGAGCUAUAUGACAUUGUCAUUAUUUCACUGACAGAACAAGCAUGCGCGCGAUUCGACACGCAGAAGUAUCGCUAACAAGGGUGGGAAGAGUCCGGCCAGAAUCGGAGCUAAGGGGAGUAGAUGCUCCUUUUAAAUCGGGCCACCAAACAUAAUGGGUCGUGUCUCUUUCAAAUCCACUUUCAUACCCUCCGCCCGAUCAAGCGUUCGCCGGGGUCAUUGUCUUCGCAGCCGAUAAUCUCGCUUCGAUCUUUCCAACAACGGUCGACCAAUAAAUAAACCUCUAUGUAACAAUCUUGA